rnacentral:lncRNA from 1 species
UCUGAAAAAAAUCGAUAAAUUCUGUUAUUUUGAUUAAUUUUGUCAUCCCUAAAAGUAAUUAAUUUCACUCAGAUGAAGUAUGUGUGUUAUAUACAUCAGAUAUUUCAACCGAGAAUAAUGUGUUGACAUGGACUUUGGCCUAGUAAGAUAUAAUAAAUGUCCCAUCAGACAAGUGUACUAAAGGUGGAUUGUACAAAAAUAUCAUUUAAGAAAUAGCGAAUUUACAAUUAUAGUAGCUAAUUUCAUCUCAGAUGAACGCCUGAUAAGGACUGGUGUACCUCAGGGGAGUGUGAUAGGCCCAACUCUACUCUAUAUACAAUAUGUUAUAGACAGUAGAUAUUCCAACCGUUAAUGAUGUAUUGAAAUCGACGGUCGAAGAAUGGCUAGCCAACUAGCGAUUAAAUUACCGCAAGUUACAUCAUUUACUUAUCCUAUCUUGACAUUUUGUUGGCUAGAAGGCUCACAUGAAGAAAACAUUUAUCCAUCAAAAUAACUAACAUGAAAAUAAUAUUCUAAACUUACCACAAACAUUCUAAACAAAACCACAAAGUUCUACUAUACAAUGCUGUUAUAAAACUGAUUUUGAAUGUUAUAGAUUAAAAUACCAUUGUUCAGUUUCAGUUUCUGUUAUAUUUUUUAUGUAUUUUUUUCGGCUGGUUUCGCGCUUAUGGUAAUUAAUGUUUUUUCACUUUUUCUGUCACACAAUACUCCAAAAUGUAUGCACAAAUAUAUAAUUAUUUUAUAUUUAACUCAAUUUCAUUUAAAUCUUGUUUAUUAAAAUCUAUUCACCACUAAUUUUGUGCUUAUGCUUAAUUUCUUAAUACAAAUUUGCUUAUGGAAUAGUAAAAUCUAAAAAUUUUUACUAUACAUUCGUAUAACGUUAUUUUUCAUGCUCAAUAUUUCUUCAAAUAUAGUAUAUAUAUUUCAAAAACGAUGCAUGAUUAAGGACCUUCUCAUUCAAUACAAAACAAUGACAAUAAAUAAGUAUAUAGUAUACAAUACGAUUAAAAUAAGUACGUUUAAAAAUACUAUUGUCAAACCAAAAAUGAAAGUAAUAAUAAUAAAUGAAACAAUGCGACAACUAAAUAUUACAAGUAGUAAAAA